CAUGUUGCGCAGUGGCAGUAUCGUAGCCAAUGAGGUUUAUCCGAGGCGCGAUUAUUGCUAAUUGAAACAUAAAUUUUUAUGUUUUAGAAAUAUGAAAAUCUCACACUUUCUUUAAUGUCGUUUGAGAU
rnacentral:snRNA from 1 species